GCUGCAUUUUUUUGACAACCAGAUCAAGACAACGGCGAUAGGGAGCAAUUUUGGCUUCAUGGUACCUAUGAAUCCAUCAGCAGUCUGGCAACAUUAGUCGAAGAGAGGUUGCAAGGUAAAGAACUUCUUGUAGAAAGCAUUUAGCUUCCAAAACAAGAGUAAUAUAUGGACACAAUUGAUUAAACAAAUUAACAGGAAUGACGCUGGAGAGAUUUUGUUUAGAGCAGAUCAUUUUAAGACACUGUCGCUUUCAGGAAAGAGAAGGUACAUAUAGUUGUUAUUACAGAUAACAUAUGAUAGCUCAAUUUGUUCAGAGCAGGGUGUUUCAAGCUACUGUUGUUUUCAAGGUUGAUUGCUACUAUUUGGAA